rnacentral:lncRNA from 1 species
ACAUGAUGUCACCAGCUGCCCUCUGCCAUGGGGCAUGCUCAGAGGCACUGGGUCUGGUCGGGUUGAAAGCACUGGCUGGGCUCAUGGUAAAGGCCUGAAAGGGACAUUAGACUUCUGAAAGGCCAUUCAACUACCACCACCAUGAGGGACACUGACCAGCAGCACACACUCCACAGCCAGUGGCCAGGGACUGAGAUUUGGAGAUUGCUGGGUGUUGAAACCACACUAAGGGCUCACGUGUCUAGUGACUGAUCUCUAGUAAUCCUGUACAGUUGUGGCUUUGGAGGUUCUCAGACCUCAGCUUGCUUCCUGUGUCUGCAGGAGGAGAUGGAAACUGACUCUGAGGCUCUGGCUCAGUAACUCCUCUCAUGCCUUCAUUUAAAGCCAGAUGCAAUUAAAUCCAGAAAAGCACACGUGUUGCCAGUAAGUGAAUGUAAAGUGACCAGCUGGGUGAACAUGAACUUCCUACACCCCUUAGCCACUGCCCCGUGGGGGAUACAGGUGUCCCAGCCCCUCGCAGGCCCUCCUGCUCCUCCCACUCACCCACCACCUCCACUUCCCAUCAACACAGGUCAGAUCUCCUGGAACUUCCUGUCAGUGGACCUCCUGGACAUUCCCUUUGGCAUCUU